UUGAACGCUGGCGGUAGGCUUAACACAUGCAAGUCGUGCGAGAAAGUAUCUUCGGAUAUGAGUAGAGCGGCGGACGGGUGAGUAACGCGUAGGAAUCUACCUAGUAGAAGGGGAUAGCCCGAGGAAACUCGGAUUAAUACCGUAUACCUCCUUCGGGAGAAAGAAGGCCUCUCUUUGAAGCUUUCGCUACUAGAUGAGCCCGCGUCGGAUUAGCUUGUUGGUAGGGUAAAGGCCUACCAAGGCAACGAUCCGUAGCUGGUCUGAGAGGAUGAUCAGCCACACUGGAACUGAGACACGGUCCAGACUCCUACGGGAGGCAGCAGUGGGGAAUAUUGG
rnacentral:rRNA from 1 species